rnacentral:rRNA from 1 species
CCUACGGGAGGCAGCAGUGAGGAAUAUUGGUCAAUGGACGAGAGUCUGAACCAGCCAAGUCGCGUGAAGGAUGACUGCCCUAUGGGUUGUAAACUUCUUUUAUAUGGGAAUAAAACGUUCCACGUGUGGGGUUUUGUAUGUACCAUAUGAAUAAGGAUCGGCUAACUCCGUGCCAGCAGCCGCGGUAAUACGGAGGAUCCGAGCGUUAUCCGGAUUUAUUGGGUUUAAAGGGAGCGUAGGUGGAUUGUUAAGUCAGUUGUGAAAGUUUGCGGCUCAACCGUAAAAUUGCAGUUGAAACUGGCAGUCUUGAGUACAGUAGAGGUGGGCGGAAUGCGUGGUGUAGCGGUGAAAUGCUUAGAUAUCACGAAGAACUCCGAUUGCGAAGGCAGUGCACUGGACUGCAACUGACACUGAGGCUCGAAAGUGUGGGUAUCAAACAGGAUUAGAUACCCGGGUAGUC